AUUUCUUCUCGGCUUUUUGGCUAAGAUCAAGUGCAGUACCUGCUCUUACCAGUAUCUGAUACAUUUUAACAUGUGGAGGGAACGUGCUAAUAGUCCAGUGCAGAGACUUU
rnacentral:snRNA from 1 species